UACGUGGGGGGCAAGCGUUGUCCGGAGUUACUGGGCGUAAAGCGCACGCAGGCGGUCUCUUAAGUUUGGAGUGACAGUUGGUGGCUUAACUGCCAAAGUGCUUCGAAAACUGAGAGACUUGAGGGCUUCAGAGGGACACGGAAUUCCGGGUGGAGUGGUGAAAUGCGUAGAGAUCCGGAGGAACACCAAAGGCGAAGGCAGUGUCCUGGGGAGUACCUGACGCUCAGGUGCGAAAGCCAGGGGAGCGAACGGG
rnacentral:rRNA from 1 species